GCUCCCAUGGCGUAGUGGUCACUGCGCUCGCCUUGCACGCGGGAGACCCGGGUUCGAUUCCCGGCGGAGUU
rfam:Asian citrus Psyllid, Diaphorina citri - Florida Strain, whole genome shotgun sequence.